GAGAAGCUAGGGUGGAGCCCAGCAGUGCUGUGGGUCUCAGAACACAGAGCUCUGGGCAUCUCCACCAUGGCCUGGACCCCUCUCCUGCUCCCCCUCUUCACUCUGUGCACAGGAUCCGUGGCCUCCAGCGAGGUGACCCAGCCACCCACAGUAUCAGUGGCCCUGGGACAGAUGGCUAAAAUCACCUGCUCUGGAGAUAUGAUGGAGAAAAAAUAUACAAAUUGGUACCAGCAGAAGCUAGGCCAAGCUCCUGUGCUGGUCAUUUAUAAAGAUAGCGAGCGGCCCUCAGGGAUCCCUGACCGAUUCUCUGGCUCCAGUUCAGGGAAAACAGUCACCCUGACCAUCAAUGGGGCCCAGGCCGAAGACGAGGCUGACUAUUACUGUCAGUCCUCUACCAUCAAUAAUGAUGCUCACAGUGACACAGGCAGAUGGGGAAAUGAGACACAAACCUUCCCCAUCUGUGUGACACUCUCUUCACCCCAGGAUGACUGCAUAAAACUAUCGGUCCCAGUCCACUUUGUUAUACUGCCCUGCACAGUCCCGCAGGUGGCUGCUUCCCUGUUGCCCGGAGUUGAGUGGGGGUUGGGGAAGUGUCGCAGGCUCAGAUCUGAAGGCGUCAAGCAGCGAUACAACCCGAGUGCAGUCAGGGAACGUAGUAACUUUAGGUCCGCAGAGUCCGUGUCGCCGCAGCGCGCCACCGCUGCUUAA